rnacentral:rRNA from 1 species
UACGUAGGUGGCAAGCGUUGUCCGGAUUUAUUGGGGUUAAAGGGUGCGUAGGCGGCCUUAUAAGUCAGUGCUGAAAUAUCCCGGCUUAACCGGGAGGGUGGCAUUGAUACUGUAGGGCUUGAGUGUAGUCGAGGUAGGCGGAAUUGACGGUGUAGCGGUGAAAUGCUUAGAUAUCGUCAAGAACACCGAUAGUGUAGACAGCUUACUAGGCUACAACUGACGCUGAGGCACGAAAGUGUGGGGAUCAAACAGG